UUUUCAUUAACUUUUAUCAGAAUAACCUUUAAGUUUUGAUAAAAAUCAAUGAUUAAGACUUCAUUAACGUAGCGUUUCGCCGUGCCCACACCGAAGCGACUGCGUUUUCUU
rfam:Lactobacillus bifermentans DSM 20003 NODE_330, whole genome shotgun sequence.